AUCACUGGUGUUCGGGUUGUCAUGCCAAUGGCACUGCCCGGUAGCUAAAUGCGGAAGAGAUAAGUGCUGAAAGCAUCUAAGCACGAAACUUGCCCCGAGAUGAGUUCUCCCUGACCCUUUAAGGGUCCUGAAGGAACGUUGAAGACGACGACGUUGAUAGGCCGGGUGUGUAAGCGCAGCGAUGCGUUGAGCUAACCGGUACUAAUGAACCGUGAGGCUUAACCUUACAACGCCGAAGCUGUU
rnacentral:rRNA from 1 species